rnacentral:lncRNA from 1 species
UACAGGCAUGAGCCACCAUGCCAGGGCCUUCUAAUUUAGUCUUGACAUCUCUCUUAGGAUAGAGACUAUAUAAACUCUAGCCCUGGGCUGUAGGGAAUUUGGUCAUGGCUGCUUACAGUGUCCUUUCAUGAGAUACUUCUUUAUCCUGGCAGAUGCUUUUGUUGCUGUCUGAUCUGUGUCCAGUUUAUUCCUACCAAGAUGGCCACUGUCUAGGAGAUCCCUGGCUAGUAAAAAAGUUAGAUUUGGGUGUGUCAGUCAGGUGAGCCAUGUAAGAGGCAGCACAACAAAAUGCAUGAAGUAGCAGAAGCAGCGUAUUACUCACAGGUCCUAGAGGGAGGAGGGCAGCACACCAAUAGGAAUUGAGAGCCACCUGGUACAAAAAAGCCCAACUAGUAUUUAAAAUGGAUGCCGAGACAACAUAAAAUGACAAUAAUUCACUACCAUCCCUUACAAACUAUGAUUUGUAAAUAUUUUCUCCCAUUACCUAAGCUAUCUUUUUACUUUCUUGAUGAUAUUCUUUGAAACACAAAAUUUUUUAUUUAAAGAAGUCUAAUUUAUUUUUAUUGUUGUUGUUGCUUAUAUCUUGAGUGUUGUAUGUAAGAAGGGUUUGCCUACACCAAAGUCACAAAGAUUUACUCCUAUAUUUUCUCCUAAGAGUUUUAUAGUUUUAGCUCUUAAAUUUAGAUCUCUGGUCCGUUUUAAUAAAUUUUUAUAAAUGGUAUGAGGAAGGGUCCAACUUUGUUCUUUUACACGUAGGUACCCAGCAGUUCCAGCAUCAAUUUUUGAAAAGAU